rnacentral:rRNA from 1 species
AGUGAACGCUGGCGGCGUGCUUAACACGUGCAAGUCGAACGAGAACGGGUUAUAGCUUGCUAUAAUUGUCAGCUAAGUGGCGCACGGGUGAGUAAUGUAUAGGUAAUAUGCCUCUUACUAAGGGAUAACAAAUGGAAACGUUUGCUAAUACCUUAUACUCCUUAUUAACAUAAGUUAAUAAGGGAAAGAUUUAUUGGUAAGAGAUUAGCCUGUAUUGUAUCAGUUAGUUGGUGGGGUAAUGGCUUACCAAGACUAUGACACAUAACUGGUUUGAGAGGACGAUCAGUCACACUGGAACUGAGACACGGUCCAGACUCCUACGGGAGGCAGCAGUGGGGAAUAUUGCACAAUGGACGAAAGUCUGAUGCAGCAACGCCGCGUGGAGGAUGACACAUUUCGGUGCGUAAACUCCUUUUAUAUGAGAAGAUAAUGACGGUAUUAUAUGAAUAAGCACCGGCUAACUCCGUGCCAGCAGCCGCCGUAA